GACAGAGGCCUCAAGCGUUAGGCGGAAUCACUGGGCUUAAAGCGUGUGUAGGCGGAGUUCUAAGUACCUUGUGAAAUCCCACGGCUUAACCGUGGAACUGCUUGGUAUACUGGUUCUCUUGGGCCACUUAGGGGCUACCGGAACAAACGGUGGAGCGGUGAAAUGCGUAGAUAUCGUUUGGAACGCCAAUGGUGAAAACAGGUAGCUGGGAGUGUGCCGACGCUGAGACACGAAAGCCAGGGGAGCGAACGGG
rnacentral:rRNA from 1 species